ACAUGCCUACAACAUAGAAUUAAUGCAUCAUAUCCCAUUAGAACUUCGUGAUUAAGCGUGCUCGAGCUAGAUUAGUACUGGGAUGGGUGACGCCCGGGAAGUCCCAGUGUUUUACAUGCC
rnacentral:rRNA from 1 species